CUAUUAAUAUUUAGAAUAAAUAUAAGGCUUCUUCCUUAUUCUUUAUAUUAGUAGUGGCACAAAAAUGGGAGCCCCGACUGUUUACUAAAAACACAGCUAUCUGCAAAGACGUAAGUCAUAGUAUAGGUAGUGAGGUUUGCUCAAUGCCCGUAGCAUAAAACUAGUAAUGGGCAACUGUUACGACUUGAAAGCCGGGUGAAUAGCGGUCUUAACUAUGAGGAUCCUAAGGUAGCAAAAUCAAUUGGCCGUUAAAUGCGGUCCGGAAUCAAUAAUUUAACGAUGGCUCUGCUGUCUCUACAACUUGCUCAGUGAAAUUGAAUUGCACGUGCAGAUGCGUGCGCACAUCAGUGGGACGGGAAGACCCUAUGCAG
rnacentral:rRNA from 1 species